CCAAAGUUCACGGUUUCACUGUUUAACAUCUAUAUACUCCAGAUAAAUUAUAGAAUAUAUAAUUAUCUUACAGUUGACGAUGUGGAAGCUCCAAAAUUCACGGUUCCACUGUUUAACAUCUACAGUGUUUCCGAGCAAAAACAUGUACGCUUCGAGGCAAGGGUGGAACCAAGUAAUGACCCAAAUCUUAAAAUAGAAUGUUUUAAAGAUGGACAACCUCUUCAAACAGGUUCCCGUAUAACCAUCAGCGUUAACUCUGGCUUAGUGGUGUUAAACAUAGAUUCUGUUAUCCUGGAAGACAGUGGAACAUACGUUUGCAAAGCUUCCAAUUCGGCGGGAAGAGCAUCUACCGAGGGUAUCUUGUCUGUUACGCCCAUUUAACAUUGUUUUUUUUACCACGUAACAAUGUCUAUUACCACGAGAACCCUACCAUUUCUAAGUAACAGUCGUUACUAUCAUGUACACUCUUGUCAGUUAUUUUACAUUAUCAGUGUAUGUUACCACGUGAACCCUAAUGUAAGUGUAAUAAAAUUAAUUUUAUCAUGUU